rnacentral:rRNA from 9 species
UCGGCUCUCGCAUCGAUGAAGAACGUAGCGAAAUGCGAUACUUGGUGUGAAUUGCAGAAUCCCGUGAACCAUCGAGUCUUUGAACGCAAGUUGCGCCCGAAGCCAUUAGGCCGAGGGCACGCCUGCCUGGGCGUCACAC